GCCAGGUGUGGUGGCGUAUACCUGUAAUCCCAGUGGCUCUGGAGGCUGAGACAGGAGGAUAGCAAGUUCUGAGCCAGCCUCAGCGAAAGUGAGGUGCUAAGCAACUCAGUGAGACCCUGUCUCUA
rnacentral:sRNA from 1 species